GACGAACGCUGGCGGCGUGCUUAACACAUGCAAGUCGAACGGAAGGGCCCUGCUUUUGUGGGGUGCUCGAGUGGCGAACGGGUGAGUAACACGUGAGUAACCUGCCCUUGACUUUGGGAUAACUUCAGGAAACUGGGGCUAAUACCGGAUAGGAGCUCCUGCUGCAUGGUGGGGGUUGGAAAGUUUCGGCGGUUGGGGAUGGACUCGCGGCUUAUCAGCUUGUUGGUGGGGUAGUGGCUUACCAAGGCUUUGACGGGUAGCCGGCCUGAGAGGGUUACCGGGCACAUUGGUACUGAGAUACCGCCCAGACUCCUACGGGAGGCAGCAGUGGGGAAUAUUGCACAAUGGGCGGAAGCCUGAUGCAGCAACGCCGCGUGCGGGAUGACGGCCUUCGGGUUGUAAACCGCUUUCGCCUGUGACGAAGCGUGAGUGACGGUAAUGGGUAAAGAAGCACCGGCUAACUACGUG
rnacentral:rRNA from 1 species